rnacentral:rRNA from 2 species
CUGCAACUCGACUCCAUGAAGUCGGAAUCGCUAGUAAUCGUAGAUCAGAAUGCUACGGUGAAUACGUUCCCGGGCCUUGUACACACCGCCCGUCACACCAUGGGAGUGGGUUGCAAAAGAAGUAGGUAGCUUAACCUUCGGGAGGGCGCUUACCACUUUGUGAUUCAUGACUGGGGUGAAGUCGUAACAAGGUAACCGUAGGGGAACCUGCGGUUGGAUCACCUCCUUA